UACUUGAACACCUCGAAUUGGUCCGCCGGAUGCAGCGGUUAGGUUAUGCGUCAAGUGUCCUGUUAGCUGGAUUGCGUUGAUUUGACGAUCGUUUCCGCGACGCGGCUUGUUUCGCAUGUAUCUUUGAUGCGGCAGCGGUUCAACGUCAGGGUUUCGGCCCGCGGGCGAGUGGUACUGGCUUCACGGCACGAUCGUGUUCAGCGAUCAGGCGGGCAUUGUGACGCCGCUGGCGCUCGACUUCGGUUUCAGCUUCGAGGAUACGCUUGAGCAGAACGGCGUUUUCCGUGACCAAGCGUCUUUCCUCGACCCGCAGAACCUGGAUCAGAGAUCGUUGCUGGGCAAGUUUGUCUUCCCAAGCUGCCAGCUUUUCCGGGACGACCUUGCGGUCGCUGGCGCGGCGCAACUCGUCGAUCAUCGCGCGAUGGUUGGUGUAGAUGGCGUUGCGACCGAUGCGCGCUUCCCGUGCGAGCGUCGCAACGGUG
rnacentral:misc_RNA from 1 species